CUGAACACAGUGUGUAUACAUAAUGAGUAGGUCCGUUUUCCUGCCAAAUGUAUUUAAUUUAGUUGGCCUGGCUGAGAAUAAUCUUGUUCUUUACUUACAAAUGCAAAUUAAUUGAACAGUUGUUUGGUGUACACUGUACAUUUUCAGAGGAGUAUAUAUUUAUACUUCUUCACAACCACUAGCAAACUUAGAGCAGACUUUAGUUUUAAGUGAGUGUGGUGAUUCUUGUGGGGUCAUACCAGCUUGCAUGUUUUCUGGUCUUGCCUAGUCAUAAUUUUAUUUUUGGAAAAUUGUACUUUCUAAGAUUUGAGACUGACCAUCCCUUUCAGCCUUUACUUAUGUUUCUACGUCAUAUCACUAUAACUUUGCAAAAAAUACAAGAAACGCUUUACUAAGCAUUUACUGAUUGCUGAGUUCUUCAUCCCCAUUGGUUCUCCAAGAGGAGAGAGGAGGGAGCUCUCACACACAGGGCCAAUGGGGUUAAAGAUAGAGGAAUUUAAAGUGGGGCUUGAUGUGGAGGGUUAUGGCUGCUUGUUUUUAAUGUUGAUUUUAAAUAUUGAUCCCCGAGGAAGUUUGAAUCAGGAGGAAAUGCUUAGGACAAUUGAUUUGCUUUUAUAUUUUAAAAUAAAGCCACUUUUCUACUGGUUAUUCUGCUGGAAUUACUAUUUUUUUAUUUAUUUUUUUCAUCUGGUAUAUGGUUAUAUAUUGCCAAAGGAGCAUUUUGAGGACAUUUUAA